rnacentral:rRNA from 1 species
AACGAACGCUGGCGGCGUGCCUAACACAUGCAAGUCGAACGGGAUUCGGAGCUUGCUCCGAUGAGAGUGGCGCACGGGUGAGUAACGCGUAGAUAAUCUGCCUGAUGAUCUGGGAUAACAGUUCGAAAGGACUGCUAAUACCGGAUAAGCCCACGGAGACCUUGGUCUUUGCGGGAAAAGGGGGGGGACCUUCGGGCCUUCCGUCAUCAGAUGAGUCUGCGUACCAUUAGCUAGUUGGUAGGGUAAAAGCCUACCAAGGCGACGAUGGUUAGCUGGUCUGGGAGGAUGAUCAGCCACACUGGAACUGAGACACGGUCCAGACUCCUACGGGAGGCAGCAGUGGGGAAUUUUGCGCAAUGGGGGAAACCCUGACGCAGCAACGCCGCGUGAGUGAUGAAGGCUCUUGGGUCGUAAAGCUCUGACAGAGGGAAAGAAGUGUAUGGUGGUUAAUACCCAUUAUACUUGACGGUACCCUCAAAGGAAGCACCGGCUAACUCCGUGCCAGCAGCCGCAGUAACAC